CCGCUUCCAACAACCUAGCAUCAACUACCCUGGCUUUCUUCCAACAAUCUGUUGAGAAGUUUGGGUUUCCUCUAAGGGUACGUGGUGAUCAGGGGGUAGAAAACGUGGACGUUGCUCGACUCAUGUUUUCAGUUCGUGGCACUGGAAGGAGCAGCUUUAUAUCUGGGAAGAGUGUUCACAACCAACGGAUUGAGCGGCUGUGGAGAGACUUGUGGGUAGCUGUAACAAGCAUCUACUACGAUGUUCUCCACUACCUUGAAGAAGAGGGCUUUCUCAGCAUCGACAACAUUACACACCUCUUCUGCU